rnacentral:misc_RNA from 1 species
GGAAGUAAAAGUCGUAACAAGAUCUCCGUUGGUGAACCAGCGGAGGGAUCAUUACCGAGUUUACAACUCCCAAACCCAAUGUGAACCAUACCAAACUGUUGCCUCGGCGGGGUCACGUCCCGGGUGCGUCGCAGCCCCGGAACCAGGCGCCCGCCGGAGGGACCAACCAAACUCUUUCUGUAGUCCCCUCGCGGACGUUAUUUUUACAGCUCUGAGCAAAAAUUCAAAAUGAAUCAAAACUUUCAACAACGGAUCUCUUGGUUCUG